rnacentral:lncRNA from 1 species
GUAGUUUUGAAUAGUAUUCCUAGAAACCAGCACAUUGAGCGUGAAGUUAUUCACAUUGGCCUGGAGAAACCACAGAAGGAAAGAGCAGGACCACAGUCAGAGACAGCAGGACCCUCUGUGCUCAGUCUGCUUCUGGAGAGGAGGGAAACCUGCUUCAAACCUUCAUGCAGCCUGACCUGUGGCAAGGAUGUGCUCAAGUCCAGCACACCGCUCAUGAGCACGCACAUCAGUCCUGCUCACCCGCUGUCCCCGCAGCAACUAUGUGAGGUAAAAUAUCUUCAAAAAGAGAAACUGGGAGAGGGUCAUCAUAAAACACCAGGUGAAGCAGUAAGCAGCAUGCUGACAGAGGAUACAAAGGUACGGCAUUCAAAUAUUUGUUCAAAAUGAACUGGAGAGUGUGAGUUUGCAAAAAUACCCCACUUCCCGGGUCAGCCUUCUGUCUACUACAUCUGUCUGCUACUACAUCUGUCUACUACUACAUCUGUCUGCCACAUCCUUAAAAGCCUGAUCAGUGGCUGCUCGCAAAAGCAGGACAUGGUUCGAGAAGAAUCACGAAGACCAUCCUAGAGGUGUGGCAAGAGAAACCUUGCUGCACUUGAGAAUCAACGCAAGGACCCAGGGGCAAGUGGGGCUCACAAAAUAUCAGCCAUACCAAAGCUGAAGCUGUGGCAGGCUUGACAAGAGGCAGAGGUUUGGGCAGACAGCAAGGGCUUUCAUUUGUGCCAAGAAAUCAAGUUGUAGGUGCCUGGAGGUAAUACCCCUCUGAUACUCACAUACCCAUAGCUGCCUAUAUUACUCAAUGUGAAGAUGCAGAUGAACUUUGCAAAAGCUUAAUGUAGAAGGAUUUCACAGCCAGCUCUUCGUCAGCAUUUUCUCACUGCUAAUGGACAGACUUUUGUUAUCUUCCCUCCUUCAUGCUACCUUGUGAAAGAAGGUUCUGCUCUCCCUGAGGAAGAGGAGUGCAGCUGUGUAUUUCUUUUAUAUUGGAUGCAGUAUCUGUUGAACCCUGCCAAAAUUUUCACUCCUCCUUAGGCUUCCUUGUUAAGUGUAUAACAGUAAUAUUUAUGUGAAAUCAGCUGAGAGUUAUACAUUCAAAAGACAACUAUCCCAAAGAAUAUUUAUAUGAUUGCAUUCAGCUAACAGUAAAAUGCUACAGAUUUGCCUUCACAGAAUCUAUUUACACAAUGCUAUAACAUGCACAGCUGCUGGAAACCUCUCAAUUGAUUUCAGUAGGUUACUGUACCUUAAGGUAAUGAUGAAACCUGCUUUAAAAUGAUUAACUGUACAUUUCUCAUUGUCCUAUAUUCUUGAAUAUAUAAUAAUAUUCUUGAAAGUCUCGUCUAGGAACAUCAUUCUAAAAUCUGUGUGUGUUAUAUAUGCUUCAGACUUGUAUUGUGGACUUUAUUAAAUUUAAGCUUACUGAAAUGUGCACUAAGUAAUUUUCACAAUGUUUGCACUAUGGCACCAUUCCCAGUCUUCAAUUCCAUGGAUUUCUGUCUCUAUGGCUGCCAGUGAAAUUCUUAUUUCCUUCUAUAGGCAAAAAAUAAAAAUAAGAUAAUUCAAUAGUGUCUUUGUGAG